rnacentral:lncRNA from 1 species
CAAGUGUAAUUUGAUACACUUAGCCACUUUUUUUAGGCAUUUUCUCUCCUUAUGGGCCGACCUUGGUGGUUGAAGAUGAAGGAGAAGAAAGUUUGUUUCUAGUGGAUAAUCAGGGUUGCAUCUAAAAUUUUAUAUAUAUUGAAUUAAAUAAAGAUCCAAUCUUUAUCUGGAUUGUAGCAGAAUAGAGAUCAAAUCUUUAAAAUCUAGAUUCAAAUCUUCACAUAGGCCUGGAUCUAUAGGCUCUCUACUACGCACACACACCAAGCUUUGCAAAAAAUCUAGAUGAAGCUUCAGAUUGAAGCACUUUCACAAGGCCACCA